rnacentral:RNase_P_RNA from 1 species
GCAGAGGGUUGGGUGGCCGCUCCGGCCUUCGGGUCGGAGAGGAAAGUCCGGGCUCCACAGGGCACGAUGCCGGAUAACGUCCGGGCGGGGCGACCCGACGGAAAGUGGCACAGAAAAGACACAGCCGCCCUCGAGGCGGCAACGGUGAAAUGGUGCGGUAAGAGCGCACCGGCGGUCGGGAGACCGGCCGGCCUGCUAAACCCCAUCGGGAGCAAGGCUCGAUAGGGAGGGGUUGAGGCGGCCCGCGGACCCUCCGGGUAGAGCCGCAUGAGGUUUCGAGCAAUCGGGAUCCCAGAGAGAUGGCCACACAAAUACAGAACCCGGCUUACAGACCCUCUGCCCCA